rnacentral:rRNA from 1 species
AUUGAACGCUGGCGGCAUGCUUUACACAUGCAAGUCGAACGGUAACAGGCCGCAAGGUGCUGACGAGUGGCGAACGGGUGAGUAAUGCAUCGGAACGUGCCCAGUCGUGGGGGAUAACUGCUCGAAAGAGCAGCUAAUACCGCAUACGAUCUAUGGAUGAAAGCGGGGGACUGUAAGGCCUCGCGCGAUUGGAGCGGCCGAUGUCAGAUUAGGUAGUUGGUGGGGUAAAGGCUCACCAAGCCAACGAUCUGUAGCUGGUCUGAGAGGACGACCAGCCACACUGGGACUGAGACACGGCCCAGACUCCUACGGGAGGCAGCAGUGGGGAAUUUUGGACAAUGGGGGCAACCCUGAUCCAGCAAUGCCGCGUGCAGGAAGAAGGCCUUCGGGUUGUAAACUGCUUUUGUACGGAACGAAACGGUCUAGGUUAAUACCCUGGGCUAAUGACGGUACCGUAAGAAUAAGCACCGGCUAACUACGUGCCAGCAGCCGCCGUAAAAC